rnacentral:tRNA from 1 species
CAGAUUAUAGUUUAAUAAAAACAUUUAACUUACAAUUAAAAAUUACCCGUGUUAAUCUAA